GUUGUGUUUUUUGAGGCAGAAGAUAAGCGUAUUAUAACAGUAAUGAUUUAUAAGGAUGGAGGCGAACCUUUACCCCUCUAACACCUAAGAACUAUACCGUAAAUGGGAGGAGUUAGCUCCAUUGACUGCAACACAGAUAGUUUCUGUUUCGGCUUUAGCUGAAUGAUAUAAUACAUCAACAGAAGACGGUUUCGGUCAUUCUAAUACUAAAGAUAACGAAGACGUUACUCUGCCACCCAUUAAUUCUGUGGAAGGGUUUUAAAUUUUUCUUUGGCCUUGAGAAAAAGCUGGAAGUGAAAAAUGAUUCUGCUUUGAGCUCUCAACUGUUCAACCCAAAAGUUAAUAUUUGAGCUUAUUAAACAAAGUAUAUACCUUGCGCAAACCUGGUCUAUAUAAAAGCUUUCCUUCACUCAUUAACUUCAAUUAUGAAGUCUUGGAAGGAAAUUGAAUCCGCUUUGGUGUCCCUUGAACGUCUUCAUAAGCAAUGCAGAUUAGUGAGCACCAAAACUAACGGGCUCCAUUCGGAUUGCACGCUACUAAUGGAAGAGCAGUCCGCUCUAAAAGCUCACGCAGACCAAAUUUUAUCAUGCCUUCAAUUUAUUUAGAACCAGAAAAAGCUACUAUUUAUCUUCAUUCUACGUCUGUAGUUGUUUUUUCUCCCUCUUUUAUCACUUUGUUAAGAAAGCUCGACGACUCUAUAUUGUUUUUGACCCAAAAGGGUUACUAUAAAGAUGCUAAGCUGUAUUUAGCAAAGUUUCAGCGCAUUCUCCACCAAGUUCUACUGCUUCUGAAAGUAGACGUACCAAAAAGCUGUAAAUGUGCGUCUUACAACUCACAUUUACGUUUACAAGAAAAUGAACUUUUUUUUGUCUGUAAGGAGCUUUUAAAGCGAACUCUCUCAUUAAAGGUUUAAUGGAAGAACUCUACUUAAAACGGCAACAGCAGGCAAACUACUUUGAAGUUUUCUUCGGUUGCGAGACUUGCUACAUUCGGCAGUGUCGCGCACUUCUUUUUAAAAUCUUUUGGAGGAAAGCAGUUUUAGCUGGGGCCCGUUAUAUAACGUAAUUCUCUUAUCAGAAACGCUAGCUGAACUAUGCGAAGUGCUGAGCUCAGAAUUUUUAGACUUAAAAAAAAAGUCUCCCUUUUGUAAGCUUUAAUGCGACCAUUCGUGAGCUGAUUCAAGAUGUACAAACGUCUAAUAACUCUUGCCCAUGUAUCUUGCUUGCCGUUUUCGAAAAGGCGGCAAAAAUAGUUUGUUUCCCAGAUCUUUAUUAUAAAGGACAUAGUAAAUUUUAAUCCAAAACCGGAAGAUUUGGACGUCCCAGCUAAAAUGACUACCGGUGCAUUUCGCGGGACCAAUAUACUAUGCUUACCACUAUUAUUUUUUAACAGGGGAACGUUACGAUCGGUAGUGCAAGCCGUUGCAGAAAACGCUUGCCUUUUUGGCUAUACGAUCUACCGUUGAGUUGACAGAUCUUGCUAGUGAGGCUAUCAGCGAUGCUUUAGAUGCCCACAAAAUUUAAGCAAUCUGUCAGAACUGGACGCACACUUGUUUCUCCUUGUGCACCUGCUGCUUCUGAAAGAGCAAUUAAUGCCCUUCGACAUCGAUUCAACCUGGCAAAGGGAAGCCAUAGCAGAAAAAGGGAUAUUUGUUUCUUGAGUUCUACAUGUAGUGGAGUAGAGCAAGGAUGAUCUGCUAGCAGACCGGGAAGCUCCCGCGUCUUACGAUCUUCUUCAGCUUUUUACAAGAGGUGGACCGCUUGUAUCUGUACCUUUUUCUCCUCCUAAGGAGAAAGUCGAACAGCACUUCGAAGUUGCUUACGUCGCUUUUCUGCAAUUUUCUGAUUAAUAUUUCACUUAACUCCUGCGUAAUUCCGUUGAAAAGAGUUUCUCAAAUCGUACGGACGUUCUUAUCUAGACGAACUCCAAGCUAAAAAUAAGUUAUUCUGUGAGUGCCUGCAUCUCUACUUGGGCGAAGUAAAGGAAGAGAGGAGCUCUACGCUGUAAAAAAAGUUUUUGAUUAUCUAAUCUUCUGCCAGAAUAAUUUAAGCAGCUUUGACUUUUCGGAACAUUACAAUUCAAUUCCUUGAAUCCUUAUUUAUGACUUAUAAAAAAAUAUAUGACUGUCCGUAGAGACUUUUCCUUA